GAAGAAAGGUUCCGACCAGUAACGCUGCUACUUGGCUUGACAUAAAACAGUGACAACGUUCAACAUAUUGUAUGAAAUCGACAACAUAUUAUUAUCCCAAGUUGGUGAAGCAGGUACAAUGAAUCGACAGCGAGCUUACUUACUUACAGGGUUUCUGUGUUUGGAGUCCGAAGAUAUCGAUGUUGCUAGUCGUGAAGUCCUACAAACGGGCAGGAGCAGGCAGCAGGAAUUGGUAAACUUGGUCCUGCAUGUAGCUACCCUGCUAUGGCCUGGCUCCAUGUGUGUACACUUCCAGAUCUGCACACUAGAUGGCGCACAUGUCUCAGUGGUGAAACAGAUUACCGACUUGUAAUGACACAUACAGGCAGGCUGGGUAAAAUCUGACGAUCCACGGCAGAGUUUCUGGAGGUACAGAUGCUGGAUAUUGAGGCUGGGUGCCUGGAGGGCUCGGACGAUGCUGCUCAUAAUAGAGAAAAAAAGGUACAUCACUCCUGUGACUGUUCCCAUCCAAACCUUACAGAGGUCAUCAUCUCUGCUGAGAAACAAUAAAGGAAGAGAAAAAUGGGAUAAAAUGUGGAUACAAUCAGGACAGGAGAGAUAUAAAAGAGAAUGCACUUCUUAUAUGCCUAUCUAAAAGGUGCAUGCUCAGUAAUGAUGUUUCUCAAAGUGACCAUACAAAGAGGGAAAAUGACAGCGAGACUAAAGUACAUUUGCCAGAAGAUCUGUCAUUCCCCUCCUUAAAUACAUGUUGUUUCCUGUUUACACAGGAAGUAACCAGAUUCCCUGUAGUCAAGUGUCUACUGAAGUGUUCCAACCUGAAUGACAUUGAGCUCUUCGACAGGCUGAUGCAAAGGGCCGACUAAAAGCUAAUCAGGCUGUAAUUCAAGAUUCGCCCGGCCACUUACAAUCAAUACUCGCACAAUCCCAAUUAAAGCUUGCCGGGUCAAUGGAGGGCCACCAAUUCCUUUACAAGUUAAAUGCAAUACUUAAAUCUAAAGCAAUCUCAGUGUGGCCUUCGAUGGUUUAAUGGCUUGUGCCGACAGGAGUGUCCAGUUAAAAGUGCAAGAGGGAUACAGGGUGGACAGGUUAUAGUGAUUAAUACUUCCUUACCCCACAAAUGCUUGCACACUUUUUAGGUAUCAUAUUAAAUGCAGUAUCUCUACUUGUAAUUCAGUAUUUUUACAGAAGAGUUACAUUUUCAUUCUUUUCUCCAAAAAUUUGACGUAUGUCUGUUGACAUCCUGAAACUGUGUUAAAAUGUGUUAUAUUCAACCAGAACAA